rnacentral:rRNA from 1 species
UACGUAGGGUGCGAGCGUUAAUCGGAAUUACUGGGCGUAAAGCGUGCGCAGGCGGUUCGUUAAGUCAGAUGUGAAAGCCCCGGGCUCAACCUGGGAACUGCAUUUGAAACUGGCGGGCUUGAGUAUGGCAGAGGGGGGUGGAAUUCCGCGUGUAGCAGUGAAAUGCGUAGAUAUGUGGAGGAAUACCGAUGGCGAAGGCAGCCCCCUGGGAUAACACUGACGCUCAUGCACGAAAGCGUGGGGAGCAAACAGG